rnacentral:rRNA from 1 species
UACGUAGGGGGCUAGCGUUGUCCGGAAUCAUUGGGCGUAAAGCGCGCGUAGGCGGCCCGGUAAGUCCGUUGUGAAAGUCAAAGGCUCAACCUUUGAAAGCCGAUGGAUACUGCCGGGCUAGAGUCCGGAAGAGGCGAGUGGAAUUCCUGGUGUAGCGGUGGAAUGCGCAGAUAUCAGGAGGAACACCGAUAGCGAAGGCAGCUCGCUGGGACGGUACUGACGCUAAGGCGCGAAAGCGUGGGGAGCGAACAGG